AUACGGAGGGUGCAAGCGUUGUUCGGAAUAACUGGGCGUAAAGGGCGCGCAGGCGGUUGGAUAAGUCAGAUGUGAAAUCCCUGGGCUCAACCCAGGAAGUGCAUUUGAAACUGUCCAUCUUGAGUACGGGAGAGGGAAGCGGAAUUCCGAGUGUAGAGGUGAAAUUCGUAGAUAUUCGGAGGAACACCGGUGGCGAAGGCGGCUUCCUGGACCGAUACUGACGCUGAGGCGCGAAAGCGUGGGGAGCAAACAGGAUUAGAAACCCCAGUAGUCC
rnacentral:rRNA from 1 species